rnacentral:sRNA from 1 species
AGAAUUAACCUUUGACCCCUAUUAUAGAAUCAGGAAAGAAACUCACUGCUCUGGUUUGGCCUCCCUGCCUGGCCCGGAGCAAUGAACACAGUUGCCACCAGGAGCUCCUGAGAGGGAAAGAGAGGCAGGGAGUAGAAGAGACCUCAGGCAUCUGUGAGCGUGAUGGGAACAGACUCUGUGGAGAUGAUGGCUUCACUGAGACUGCUUGCUUAAUGGGGACAGCAGAGGAUGCUUAAACCUUUGAGGGGGGCUGCUGGACAUGCCCUUAUAAGGGGAGAGGAAGUUUAACUUGACCGCCAGGCUACGUGAGUGAUCUCCUCAAGCUGACAAAGUUGGGGGAACCAGAUUACAUAUGGUGGGACAUGCAGGCCCUGGGUGGGUGGGGGAGCAAUCCUACUCCUGUCAAUCUCAGGAUUAGAUUUCCUGUUUGGACAUACUUUGACCCCAUUCUUGCUUCCUCCUGCCUCACCCCCUUCCCUUGUCCCACUGCUCCCAGGCUCCACAGAAACUAAGACUAGGACACUAAUCUCCUCCCAGGCCACACUCACCGGCUCCCAAGGCAGAGUGCAGCAGCAGCAGCAGCAGCAGCAGCAGCAGCAGCAGCAGCAGCAGCAGCAGCAGCAGCAGCAGCAUUCUGUUCUGCCCGGCAAGAGAUCACCCCAUUCUGACUAACAACCUGGUCUCUGAUUUUGUCCACCAGUAUACCCCCAAUAAUAGCUAACACAUAAUCAUCAUUUUCAGAUGCUGGCUGCCUCAACUCAGAGUAAAGACUGAACAUUUGUCCUUUCAUCUUCUGCAAAGGAGAAAAUGAACUACUCUGAGCAGAUGGUAUUUGGUCAUGUGCAAAUGGCUACUGGUCUUGGGUUGCUGUGAGCCGGAGGGAGGUGAACAAGGUGCUGGUCAGGGUGGAGGCUCAUCUUAUUGCAGCUUACCACGUUACAUACAUCUUUAUAAGUUACCAAAAACAUGUCCUGGAUUAAAGCAGUUUGUGAACACCAUCAAGGCUUAAGCCCCAAACUUCUCCCCCUGAGAGGUUUGUAUUAUCCCUGAGAGGAACCUGGAGCACCCCGCGUGUGAGUGUUUUGACUACAUAUGGUUAACAGAUAUGAUACUUUCCUGCCUGGCUUUCAUUCCUAUCUCGAUUUUUUUCCCAGUUGUAUCAGCAUGUUUUUGUUGUUUGCCACAUUCUGUUCUUCACAGUCCUUUCCCCAUUUUUCCCACCUUGUUCUUCAUCCGAAAGGGCUGAUCUGCAUAGUAGAUUUGUAUAGAAGUUUGCCUUGGUGAACGCUUGACCAUUGUGUCCCAGUUCAUGUGAUGCAAGUGUGUUCGCCAUGGUGAUGUUUCUUCUCCGGGAGGGGCCGUGCACUCCUGCUUAGAAGAGGUGCCUGGAAGAGACCCCACAGAGCCAGCCAAUCCCUUCCACCAUGGGAAGGCCCAGCAGGAAAACAUUGUCGAUGAGUCAGAAAGUCGGUCCUCCACAGACCGACACAGUCUGCCUUGAUCUUAUACUCCUCAGCUUCGAGAACACUGUGCGAUAGAUUUCUAUUGUUUAUAGUCACACAGAUCUGCUGUUUUUGUUACUGCAGUCCACACAGAAGAGCCCAGAGCCUGAAGUGAAUGUGAUGCAGGGGGACCAUGGAAGAUACAUUUCCUCAACUCAGUUUCUCAUAGAGGAAGUUUGGAGCUGAGAGAGUCAGGAUUUCGUGUUGGACUGGACUUUAUUAAUAAAACAUGAGAUAGUUCCUGCUUGAAA